UUCGGGAAAGUAAGACCCCUCAGAGAUGAUGAGGUAGAUAGGAUGGAAGUGGAAGUGCCGUGAGACAUGGAGCGGACCAUUACUAAUCGGUCGAGGACUUAACCAAG
rnacentral:rRNA from 1 species